CAUGGUACAGUGAUCAAAGGAUUUAUUCGCUGAAGGAUGGCUUCGCGUCCGAUUAGGUAGUUGGUGAGGUAACGGCCCACCAAGCCUACGAUCGGUAGCCGGACUGAGAGGUUGAUCGGCCACAUUGGGACUGAGACACGGCCCAAACUCCUACGGGAGGCAGCAUG
rnacentral:rRNA from 1 species